CGCGCAAAUUACCCAAUUCUAACAGUUUGAGAGAGGUAGUAACAAGAAAUAACAAUACAAGGCAAUUAAAAUGCUUUGUAAUUGGAAUGAUAGAAAUUUAAACCCUUUUUAAAGUAUCAAUUGGAGGGCAAGUCUGGUGCCAGCAGCCGCGGUAAUUCCAGCUCCAAUAGCGUAUAUUAAGAUUGUUGCAGUUAAAAAGCUCGUAGUUGAAGUUCUGCUGAAAGUAACCGGUCUG
rnacentral:rRNA from 1 species